GGAUUUUUGAUUUUCCACGUCUAAUUUAGCUCAUAAACCAAUAUUCAAAACGCUACCGUUUCGUCGUCGAGGGUCGGAUCAAAAAAGUGUCUAUCAUUUCUUUGCGUGUGCGUCUUAAGAUGCCGUGUGCAAAGUUUGGUGUUGAUUGGUCAAGAAAUAUGGGAGGAGUAGCGAAAAAACAGUUUUGCGGUUUUCGCGAUUUUGCGAAAAAAAAUUCUAGACGCAAAUGGGCGUGGCCUAUGCCAAAAGAUGCAGCAGACUCCAGUGAAUAUGUGCGUACAAGUUUUUGACUGUGGGAGGUUCGGU
ensembl:lncRNA